rnacentral:ncRNA from 4 species
UGCGGUUGGAUCACCUCCUU